rnacentral:rRNA from 1 species
GAUGAACGCUGGCGGCGUGCCUAAUACAUGCAAGUCGAGCGAACAGACGAGGAGCUUGCUCCUCUGACGUUAGCGGCGGACGGGUGAGUAACACGUGGAUAACCUACCUAUAAGACUGGGAUAACUUCGGGAAACCGGAGCUAAUACCGGAUAAUAUAUUGAACCGCAUGGUUCAAUAGUGAAAGACGGUUUUGCUGUCACUUAUAGAUGGAUCCGCGCCGCAUUAGCUAGUUGGUAAGGUAACGGCUUACCAAGGCAACGAUGCGUAGCCGACCUGAGAGGGUGAUCGGCCGCACUGGAACUGAGACACGGUCCAGACUCCUACGGGAGGCAGCAGUAGGGAAUCUGCCGCAAUGGGCGAAAGCCUGACGGAGCAACGCCGCGUGAGUGAUGAAGGUCUUCGGAUCGUAAAACUCUGUUAUUAGGGAAGAACAAAUGUGUAAGUAACUAUGCACGUCUUGACGGUACCUAAUCAGAAAGCCACGGCUAACUACGUG